rnacentral:rRNA from 1 species
UACGUAGGGUGCAAGCGUUGUCCGGAAUUAUUGGGCGUAAAGAGCUCGUAGGCGGUCUGUCGCGUCUGCUGUGAAAACUCGGGGCUUAACCCCGGGCCUGCAGUGGGUACGGGCAGACUAGAGUGCGGUAGGGGAGACUGGAAUUCCUGGUGUAGCGGUGAAAUGCGCUGAUAUCAGGAGGAACACCGGUGGCGAAGGCGGGUCUCUGGGCCGUAACUGACGCUGAGGAGCGAAAGCAUGGGGAGCGAACAGG